rnacentral:rRNA from 1 species
GAUGAACGCUGGCGGCGUGCUUAACACAUGCAAGUCGAACGAGAAGUGAAGACGGAAACCUUCGGGCGGAAGGCUUUAUUUCGAGUGGCGGCCGGGUGAGUAACGCGUGGGUAACCUGCCUCAUACAGGGGGAUAACAGUUGGAAACGACUGUUAAUACCGCAUAAGACCACAGCACCGCAUGGUGCGGGGGUAAAAACUCCGGUGGUAUGAGAUGGACCCGCGUUCGAUUAGCCAGUUGGCGGGGUAACGGCCCACCAAAGCGACGAUCGAUAGCCGAUCUGAGAGGAGGACCGGCCACAUUGGGACUGAGACACGGCCCAAACUCCUACGGGAGGCAGCAGUGGGGAAUAGUGCACAAUGGGGGAAACCCUGAUGCAGCGACGCCGCGUGAGUGAAGAAGUAUGUCGGUAUGUAAAGCUCUAUCAGCAGGGAAGAAAAUGACGGUACCUGAGUAAGAAGCCCCGGCUAACUACGUG